rnacentral:rRNA from 1 species
UACGGGGGGAGCAAGCGUUGUUCGGAUUUACUGGGCGUAAAGGGCGCGUAGGCGGCCACUGCAAGUCGGUUGUGAAAUCUCCGGGCUCAACCUGGAGGGGUCAUUCGAUACUGCCGUGACUAGAGGUCGGUAGGGGAGUGUGGAAUUCCUGGUGGAGCGGUGAAAUGCGCAGAUAUCAGGAGGAACACCCGUAGCGAAGGCGGCACUCUGGGCCGAUACUGACACUGAGGAGCGAAAGCGUGGGGAGCGAACAGG